rnacentral:piRNA from 1 species
UAACACCACCCUUCCUGUUGCUACCUGUC